GUUGCGCAUAAAGGAAUCACAGUGUCCUUUACACUCCAAAGAAAUGACGCCUCCGCUGAUAAUGAAUCUCGUCCGCAUGUAAUCUGUUUUUACAUCUUUACCCUUUUUUAUUGUUAACAAUUGCCACUAAUGCUCAUUACAAGUGCAUCAAUGACAUUUCAUAAAGAUAUAUUGAAAUUACUGUAAAACCAGACUCAUAAAGCCUUCAAUAAGCCAAACGAAGCUGCAUGAAAAGGACACCGUAGUCACUCUAAGAGAAUCUCUUUAACCCAUACGUCUACACCAAUCCCUUCAUUCACCUUAGAAAUUCUAACUAUUACCAUCUUCUUCUCAUCUCGUCUACGCCUAUUAUGAGGCAUUCUCUCUGUGUUCUCGAGAGAAUGCAGCAUUUGUAAAACAAGGCAAGAAGUUGUUCUCACCUGCCUCAUCUCACUAGGAUUCAGUGCCAGCUCCUUUGCACUUUCGAGCCAUGUUCCGAUUAGAAAAUUAUCAUCGGAAGCAAGAAGUACAUCAAUGUCCUUGAUGAGUUGGAUAAAUUUCUGGCUGUGAAGAUUCAAGGCACGAGCAUCAUUACUCCGAAAAGCUAUUAUAGCAUCAACGUAUACUUGGUUUGCUAGCUUUGACAGAACUUGUCGCGUUAAGUCAACCAAGUCAUAUCUGUUGCAAUUGUAUAUUGUAAGUAAACAUGAUAACGAACUUCCUCCUUCCGUUUGUAAUGCUAUGUGUGAAUGAUUCAUAAAUAAAUUUAGCAAUAUUGAAGAUA